rnacentral:misc_RNA from 1 species
GAAAUGCGAUAAGUAGUGUGAAUUGCAGAAUUCAGUGAAUCAUCGAAUCUUUGAACGCACAUUGCGCCCCUUGGUAUUCCAUGGGGCAUGCCUGUUCGAGCGUCAUUUACACCCUCAAGCUCUGCUUGGUGUUGGGUGUUUGUCCCGUCUCCGCGCGUGGACUCGCCCCAAAGUGAUUGGCAGCCGGCGUACUGGUCCCGGAGCGCAGCACAUGUCGCGCAAACGAGUGCCUUGGUACGGCGGCGUCCAUAAGCCCCUCUCUCACGCUCUUGACCUCGGAUCAGGUAGGGAUACCCGCUGAACUUAAGC